rnacentral:rRNA from 1 species
GACGAACGCUGGCGGCGUGCUUAACACAUGCAAGUCGAACGGAGAUUUUUAUUUCGGUAAAAAUCUUAGUGGCAAACGGGUGAGUAACGCGUAGGCAACCUGCCUUUCCGAUGGGGACAACAGUUCGAAAGGACUGCUUAUACCGAAUGAUGUAUAUCUUCCGCAUGGAGGACAUACCAAAGACGGCCUCUAUUUAUAAGCUGUCACGGAAAGAUGGGCCUGGGUCUGAUUAGCCAGUUGGCGGGGUAAUGGCCCACCAGAGCGACGAUCAGUAGCCGGUCUGAGAGGAUGAACGGCCGCAUUGGGACUGAGAAACGGCCCAAACUCCUACGGGAGGCAGCGGUGGGGAAUCUUCCGCAAUGGACGAAAGUCUGACGGAGCAACGCCGCGUGAGUGAAGAAGGUUUUCGAAUCGUAAAGCUCUGUUGUCAGGGACGAGCAGGGGGAGUAUCAACAACACUUCCUCAUGACGGUACCUGACGAGGAAGCCACGGCUAACUACGUGCCAGCCGCCGCAGUAA